UACAGAGGGUGCGAGCGUUGUCCGGAAUCACUGGGCGUAAAGGGCGCGUAGGCGGCUUGAUAAGGUUGCGGUGAAAGCCCGGGGCUCAACCCCGGGUCGGCCGUGGCAACUGUCGAGCUGGAGCACUGUAGAGGCAGGUGGAAUUCCGGGUGUAGCGGUGGAAUGCGUAGAGAUCCGGAAGAACACCAGUGGCGAAGGCGACUUCCUGGCCUGUUCUUGACGCUGAGGCGCGAAAGCUAGGGGAGCAAACGGG
rnacentral:rRNA from 1 species